rnacentral:rRNA from 1 species
GACGAACGCUGGCGGCGUGCUUAACACAUGCAAGUCGAACGGAAAGGCCCUGCUUUGGGGGGGUGCGCGAGGGGCGAACGGGGGAGUAACACGUGAGUAACCUGCCCUUGACUUUGGGAUAACUUCAGGAAACUUGGGCUAAUACCGGAUAGGAGCUCCUGCUGCAUGGUGGGGGUUGGAAAGUUUCGGCGGUUGGGGAUGGACUCGCGGCUUAUCAGCUUGUUGGUUGGGUAGUGGCUUACCAAGGCUUUGAUGGGUAGCAGGCCUGGUAGGGUGACCGGCCCCAUCGGGCCUGAGCUGAGGCACAGCCUCGACCGGGAGGCAACGGUGCAGUGUAUUGUACAAUGGGCGGGGGCCUGGUGCAGCCAAGCCGCGCCCGGGAUGACGGCCUUCGGGUUGUGAACCGAUUUCGCCUGUGACGAAGCGUGAGUGACGGUAAUGGGUAAAGAAGCACCGGCUAACUACGUG